AUAUGAAGUACAGCUUCUUCCCAUGCAACGCAUUUGCACUGCUUGCGGCUAUGGCCAUGGAAUGUUUAAAGGAGUAUUCCUCAAAGCUCAUCAGCCUGUUCUUCGUUGUCCGUUCGACCUGGAAGAAGCCAGUUUUUUAAAUCAUGGAUUUAACUAAUAAUCUUAACUAUUCGACAAUAAUGUCUAUAAAUCUCACUUUCCAAGUCUUUUAGGUAUACCUCUGUCUUUCUUAACAUAUGUUGAAUCUAAAACAUCUGCUCUCUUAACUGAAUCAUCAGAUGGUUGAUGCUUAAUGUGACCAAACAAUUUAAAACUCUAAUCUUAUUCGUCAUUGUAGUUGCACCAACCCUAUCACGAAUAUACUCAUUUAGCAUUUUGUGUGUAAGUGUCAAGUCGCUCAUCCACCCAAGCAUUCUCAGCAUUACAUGUUUCAUCUUAUAAAAAAUAAUUAUUUAUAAUAAAUAAAUAAAUAAAGUAUAAUAAGGAACAACAUUACUAUUACAGAAAUCGCUUUAUUCUAUAAAUAUGAAAUUCAAAUCUGCAAGAAGAACUUUUGGUUGACUUUUUGUGUGAGUAAUUGGGUGUGCUUCAAGGUCGAAAGGUCAACGAAAAAGAGGUGCAUGAGAUGCCAAGGAAGAGCUCGUUCUAUUACAGAUCAGUCUAUAUCGCCCUGAUACAUAAUUAAUUUAAAGAUUCAAUUCUCACAAGAUGCUCGUCACCUACAUCACAGAGAUUAUCAUGAGUAGCUAUGAUCAGCCCUUUUUCUUAUGAAAGCAGAUCCCUACAACCACCCAGGACUUGUGGUUCAGGGAGUUCAUGGUUCUUCACCUGACUCCCAAAGCACCAUUAUCAUAUCUGUUGAAUCUUCAAGAUUUGGGGCAGUCAUCGCCUUAGAGACACGUCCUCAAGCAGCCUACCUGGAUCGGUGAGGAGAUCUUGGGUCAGUUGGUUGUAGCCUAGGCUCUCCUGCUUAUGAGAGGAAGAGGAAGACGAAUCGAGUGAAUCGGUCGACUGAGAGGGCCAGGCGUGUUGUGCUCCAUAUUGGCGGAUCAUCUCCCCUUACAGAGCACUAUAGGAGGCAAAGGAGUUUAGUCAUGAGCCCUUUGUUGUGGAGUUACACGUUCAAACUCAUCGGCGCCCGGGGACGCACCAGUGGGUCUCACAGCAUUCCCGGCAGGUUGUUGAGGACUUUGAGCAGCUCUGGGAGAGACACUUGGCCACUCAGACCCAGAAUUUCGCUAGCAGCACUGGUAGUCAAUCUACUACUGUACAAUCUGAGCACGAGCUUAGAACUCUGGUGAAGGGGAAGAAGAAUGGGAGGAUUUAUAGCCUUGAUGCGAAGGGCAUAAUCCCUGUGGCCCAUUAUUGAGUUCCUCGAGCUCCUCACAGCCAUAUUAGGAGUGUUGGGCAAAUUGUUGCAAUGAACAAAGAGCUCGGUCAGUUGCGUGAAAAGAUUAUAGAAGUUCAACAUCGGGUUAAGGACUCUAUAGUGUGCAUGGCGAAGGCUUUAGCAGAUUGUCGGACCAAGUGGUUGGUGAUAGCCAUAGAGGAGGAGGACGACAACGACGACGAGCGAGAUGAUGAGUAGUUUUGUUUCAUGUUUUCUUUUAUAUGCCUGCAUUAAUUUGAAUGUUUACUGUAGAACUUUUGGCUAAUUUUAUUAUUCUUAUAUAGGUCAAUUUGUGACAGUAUCUUAAUUUUCAUUAUUGA